rnacentral:rRNA from 1 species
GGUGAACGCUGGCGGCGUGCUUAAGACAUGCAAGUCGAACGGCCUGUUUCGGACUGUAGUGGCGCACGGGUGAGUAACGCGUAACUGACCUACCCCAAAGUCGCGGAUAACGAUUCGAAAGAAUCGCUAAUACGUGAUGUGCUGUCAGAUUGUGUUCUGCCAGUAAAGAUUGAUUGCUUUGGGAUGGGGUUGCGUUCCAUCAGCUAGUUGGUGGGGUAAAGGCCCACCAAGGCGACGACGGAUAGCCGGCCUGAGAGGGUGGCCGGCCACAGGGGCACUGAGACACUGGUCCCACUCCUACGGGAGGCAGCAGUUAGGAAUCUUCCACGAUGGGCGAAAGCCUGAUGGAGCGACGCCGCGUGAGGGAUGAAGGUCUUCGGAUCGUAAACCUCUGAAUCAGGGACGAAAGACACUUCGGUGGGAUGACGGUACCUGAGUAAUAGCACCGGCUAACUCCGUGCCAGCCGCCGCGGUAAGAC